rnacentral:rRNA from 1 species
GACGUAGGGCGCGAGCGUUGUCCGGAUUUAUUGGGCGUAAAGAGCUCGUAGGCGGUUUGUUGCGUCGGCUGUGAAAACCUGAGGCUCAACCUCAGGCCUGCAGUCGAUACGAGCAGACUAGAGUGUUGCAGGGGAGACUGGAAUUCCUGGUGUAGCGGUGGAAUGCGCAGAUAUCAGGAGGAACACCGGUGGCGAAGGCGGGUCUCUGGGCAGUAACUGACGCUGAGGAGCGAAAGCGUGGGGAGCGAACAGG